rnacentral:rRNA from 1 species
AGCGAACGCUGGCGGCAGGCCUAACACAUGCGAGUCGAACGAACCUUUCGGGGUUAGUGGCGGACGGGUGAGUAACACGUGGGAACGUGUCUUUAGGUUCGGAAUAACUCAGGGAAACUUGUGCUAAUACCGAAUGUGCCCUUCGGGGGAAAGAUUAAUCGCCUUUAGAGCGGCCCGCGUCUGAUUAGCUAGUUGGUUGAGGUAAUGGCUCACCAAGGCGACGAUCAGUAGCUGGUCUGAGAGGAUGAUCAGCCACAUUGGGACUGAGACACGGCCCAAACUCCUACGGGAGGCAGCAGUGGGGAAUCUUGCGCAAUGGGCGAAAGCCUGACGCAGCCAUGCCGCGUGAAUGAUGAAGGUCUUAGGAUUGUAAAAUUCUUUCACCGGGGACGAUAAUGACGGUACCCGGAGAAGAAGCCCCGGCUAACUUCGUG